rnacentral:rRNA from 1 species
CCUACGGGUGGCAGCAGUUAGGAAUAUUUGUCAAUGGGCGCGAGCCUGAACCAGCCAAGUAGCGUGAAGGAUGACUGCCCUACGGGUUGUCAACUUCUUUUAUAAAGGAAUAAAGUGAGGCACGUGUGCCUUUUUGUAUUUACUUUAUGACUAAGGAUCGGCUAACUCCGUGCCAGCCUCCGCGGUAAUACGGAGGAUGCGAGCGUUAUCCGGAUUUAUGGGGUUUAAAGGUUGCGCAGUCGGAAUGUCAAGUCAGCGGUAAACUUUCGGGGCUCAACCCCUUCGUUCCGGUGAAACUGGCGUUGUUGAGUGAGCGAGAAGGAUGCGGAAUGCGUGGUGUAGCGGUGAAAUGCAUAGAUAUCACGCAGAA